GCCCUUGAGUUUGAUCCUGGCUCAGAACGAACGCUGGCGGCGUGCUUAACACAUGCAAGUCGAACGCGAAAGGGACUUCGGUCCUGAGUAAAGUGGCGCACGGGUGAGUAACGCGUGGAUAAUCUACCCGAUGAUCUGGGAUAACAUUUCGAAAGGGGUGCUAAUACCGGAUAAGACCACGGGCUCUUCGGAGCUUGCGGUAAAAGGUGGGGACCUUCGGGCCUACCGUUAUCGGAUGAGUCCGCGUACCAUUAGCUAGUUGGUGGGGUAAGAGCCUACCAAGGCGACGAUGGUUAGCUGGUCUGAGAGGAUGAUCAGCCACACUGAAACUGAGACACGGUCCAGACUCCUACGGGAGGCAGCAGUGGGGAAUUUUGCGCAAUGGGGGAAACCCUGACGCAGCAACGCCGCGUGAGUGAUGAAGGCCUUCGGGUCGUAAAGCUCUGUCAGAGGGAAAGAAGUGCAGUGGUGCUAAUACCAUCAUUGCUUGACGGUACCCUCAAGGGAAGCACCGGCUAACUCCGUGCCAGCAGCCGCGGUAAUACGGAGGGUGCGAGCGUUGUUCGGAAUUAUUGGGCGUAAAGCGCGUGUAGGCGGUUUUUUAAGUCUGAUGUGAAAGCCCCGGGCUCAACCUGGGAAGUGCAUUGGAAACUGGGAGACUUGAAUACGGGAGAGGGUAGUGGAAUUCCUAGUGUAGGAGUGAAAUCCGUAGAUAUUAGGAGGAACACCGGUGGCGAAGGCGGCUACCUGGACCGAUAUUGACGCUGAGACGCGAAAGCGUGGGGAGCAAACAGGAUUAGAUACCCUGGUAGUCCACGCCGUAAACGAUGAGUACUAGGUGUUGCGGGUAUUGACCCCUGCAGUGCCGCAGCUAACGCAAUAAGUACUCCGCCUGGGAAGUACGGUCGCAAG
rnacentral:rRNA from 1 species